UACGGCGCACACUUGUUGAAAAAAAUAAAUAAAUAGGAAUAACAAUAAAAAUUUGUAUAAACCACAGUUUUCUUCUUCUUCUUCCUUCUUCACCCGAAUCUGCCAAAAAUCAUAAUUUCGUCUAGCUAGCGGCUGGAGUGAUCACCGGAGAUGUCUGGAGUUGUCAGAACUUAGACGGAGGAGUAGAACAAGAGCUAUGUAACUUUCCCUCUCCACUCCUUUUUCUCUCUACAACCACGUACAGGUUGUUAAUGGUGGUUUGUGUGAAUAUCACUUAACGGGCCACGGGAUAGCACCAGUGUGAACUGUGGCCCUAGAAACAGGUCCUUACCCUCCAUUACCGGGAAGGGGACUGAAGUUGACCGGGAAGUGGUAUAAAGCCACACGGGCAACCUCCUGGGAGAUCGCUGGCCAGAGGGGAAUUUUCCCACACUUGGGACGAAGGGUCUAUCACAUGAAUUCAUAUCAGGCAAGUACGAAGAUGGCGGCAAGUUUUCGAGGCGUGCGCGGUUUCUCAUGGAUACAGUUGUGGUUUAUGGGUAGCGUAUGGUUUGAUUAUUAAGACUUUCGCUUUGUUAAAUUUUAAAGACUUAUUAAUUAUGUCUUAAUGAAUUUCUAAAUCCAUUUUAUUC